GCUGGGCGCAAUGGUAUGUGCCUGUAGUCCUAGCUACUCGGAGGCUCAGGCGGGAGGAUGGCUUGAGCCCAGGGGUUCUGGGCUGCAGUGUGCUAUGGUGAUUGGAUGUCCGCACUAAGUUCAUCAUCAAUAUGGUCACCUCCCAGGAACAGGGAGUUACCAAGUUGCCUAGAAGAGGUGAACCAUUCCAGGUCAGAAACGGAGAAAGUAAAAACUCCCAUACUGAUCAGUAGUGAGAUCUCACCUAUAAAUAGCCACUGCACUCCAGCCUGGGCAACAUAGUGAGACUCUAUCUCUA
ensembl:misc_RNA Metazoa_SRP Metazoan signal recognition particle RNA